CGCGUAGGCGGAUCAGAAAGUUGGGGGUGAAAUCCCGGGGCUUAACCCCGGAAUUGCAUUUGAAACUGUAAUACUUGAGUACUGGAGAGGUAAGUGGAAUUCCUAGUGUAGCGGUGAAAUGCGUAGAUAUUAGGAGGAACACCAGUGGCGAAGGCGACUUACUGGACAGAUACUGACGCUGAGGCGCGAAAGCGUGGGGAGCAAACAGGAUUAGAUACCCCCGUA
rnacentral:rRNA from 1 species